GACGUAGGGCGCAAGCAUUGUCCGGAUUUAUUGGGCGUAAAGAGCUCGUAGGCGGCUCAUCGCGUCUGCCGUGAAAACCCGCAGCUCAACUGCGGGCUUGCGGUUGAUACGGGUGGGCUGGAGUUCGGUAGGGGAGACUGGAAUUCCUGGUGUAGCGGUGAAAUGCGCAGAUAUCAGGAGGAACACCGGUGGCGAAGGCGGGUCUCUGGGCCGAUACUGACGCUGAGGAGCGAAAGCGUGGGGAGCGAACAGG
rnacentral:rRNA from 1 species